AUUGAACGCUGGCGGCAGGCCUAACACAUGCAAGUCGAGCGGAUGAAGGGAGCUUGCUCCUGGAUUCAGCGGCGGACGGGUGAGUAAUGCCUAGGAAUCUGCCUGGUAGUGGGGGAUAACGUCCGGAAACGGGCGCUAAUACCGCAUACGUCCUGAGGGAGAAAGUGGGGGAUCUUCGGACCUCACGCUAUCAGAUGAGCCUAGGUCGGAUUAGCUAGUUGGUGGGGUAAAGGCCUACCAAGGCGACGAUCCGUAACUGGUCUGAGAGGAUGAUCAGUCACACUGGAACUGAGACACGGUCCAGACUUCUAAGGGAGGCAGCAGUGGGGAAUAUUGGACAAUGGGCGAAAGCCUGAUCCAGCCAUGCCGCGUGUGUGAAGAAGGUCUUCGGAUUGUAAAGCACUUUAAGUUGGGAGGAAGGGCAGUAAGUUAAUACCUUGCUGUUUUGACGUUACCAACAGAAUAAGCACCGGCUAACUUCGUG
rnacentral:rRNA from 1 species